UACGUAGGGACCAAGCGUUGUUCGGAUUUACUGGGCGUAAAGGGCGCGUAGGCGGCAAUUCAAGUCAGCUGUGAAAUCUCCGGGCUUAACUCGGAACGGUCAGCUGAUACUGCUUUGCUAGAGUGCAGAAGGGGGCAAUCGGAAUUCUUGGUGUAGCGGUGAAAUGCGUAGAUAUCAAAGAGGAAACACCCAAUGGCGAAGGCAGCUCGCUGGGACGUGACUGACGCUGGAGACGCGAAAGCGUGGGGAGCAAACAGG
rnacentral:rRNA from 1 species